GGCAAGUGUAUAUUAAUGUUGUUGCCUUUAAAACGUUCGUAGCCUAAAGUGAUAGGAGCAACGGUUUGGUUCGGAGCGAGCAAAAUGCCGCACCACCGGCUGUUGUUUCAUUUAAGUUAGGUAGGAGUUAAUGGGUGGAGACAAUUAGUUUUGUCAUCACAAUUUCCAUUGUCCUACCAGUUUACCAUGAAUAAUUGGGAGUGUUUCAAGCAGGCUAUUUGGCCGUUGAACUUUUUAGCAUGGAAUAAUGAAAAAAGGGAGGCGCAUACGGAUGUGCUCGAAAGAGUGCCCCGCGUGCAGUUUUCAAUGAUAAAUGAAAAUGGAGAGAGUGGAUGCUAUUUUGUAGGGAGAGGUGAAAUUCUAUAAUCUGCGAAAGAGCAACAGAAGCGUAGGCGAUCCACGGUUACAUAUUUGUCGGUCAUGGACUAAGGUUGGGGGAGAGAAGACGAUUAGAUACCAU
rnacentral:rRNA from 1 species